rnacentral:rRNA from 1 species
UAUAAUGUUUUUCUGAGUAAACAAGCAAAUAAAUUAAAACUUUCAACAACGGAUCUCUUGGCUCUGGCAUCGAUGAAGAACGCAGCGAAAUGCGAUAAGUAAUGUGAAUUGCAGAAUUCAGUGAAUCAUCGAAUCUUUGAACGCACAUUGCGCCCGCCAGUAUUCUGGCGGGCAUGCCUGUUCGAGCGUCAUUACAACCCUCAGGCCCCCGGGCCUGGCGUUGGGGAUCGGCGGAAGCCCCCUGUGGGCACACGCCGUCCCUCAAAUACAGUGGCGGUCCCGCCGCAGCUUCCAUUGCGUAGUAGCUAACACCUCGCAACUGGAGAGCGGCGCGGCCAUGCCGUAAAACACCCAACUUCUGAAUGUUGACCUCGAAUCAGGUAGGAAUACCCGCUGAACUUAAGCAUAUCAAUAAGCGGAGGA